GGAUUAUGAAACCAACUCACAUCCCUUGGCAGCAAGGAAAACUAGAGAUACCUUACCCAUUCUUUCCUAAUAAGGGUAGGAAAACCAAGAACACCUAUAUAUAAACCCCAUAAGCAGCAGCAAAAUGCGUCAAUCAUCUGUUGUCUCUCUCUCAAUACUCGGUGGGUUUUAGUGAGCUUCCAUGAUGUCUGUCAGGGGAAGAAUUGAUGUCAACUUAAAUUCUACAGGCAUGUUGUUCAAUCCCAUGCAGCUAGCUUUCUUGGGGUUUCAUGAGGUGGCAGAGGUGGGAAUUG
rnacentral:misc_RNA from 1 species